rnacentral:rRNA from 1 species
UCGUCCGAGUUGUAACCUGGAGAGGCAUUUUUCCGCGUUGGACCGUGUACAAGUCUCCUGGAACGGAGCGUCAUAGAGGGUGAGAAUCCCGUCCAUGACACGGACCGCCAAUGCCUCUGUGAUAUGCCUUCGAAGAGUCGCGUUGUUUGGGAAUGCAGCGCAAAAUGGGUGGUAAAUUCCAUCUAAAGCUAAAUAUUGGCGAGAGACCGAUAGCGAACAAGUACCGUGAGGGAAAGAUGAAAAGCACUUUGAAAAGAGAGUUAAACAGUACGUGAAAUUGUUGAAAGGGAAGCGCUUGAAGUCAGUCGCGUUCCGUGGAACUCAGCCUUACUUCGGUUUGGUGUACUUUCCAUGUGAACGGGUCAAUGUCAAUUUUGGCCGGUGGACAAAGGCAAAGGGAAUGUAGCGUCGCUUCGGUGACGUGUUAUAGCCCCUUGUUGUAUACACCGGCUGGGAUUGAGGACCGCAGCACGCCCUUUGUGGCCGGGGGGUUCUCGCCCCUACGUUACCGUGCUUAGGAUGUUGGCAUAAUGGCUUUAAGCGACCCGUCUUGAAACACGGACCAAGGAGUCUAACAUGCUUGCGAGUGUUCGGGUGGAAAACCCUUGCGCGUAAUGAAAGUGAAAAGUUAGGAGCCCUUAGGGGUGCACUGACGCCCGGCCCUGAAGUCCUCUGACGGUGCUGCGGUAGAGCAAGUAUGUUGGGACCCGAAAGAUGGUGAACUAUGCCUGAAUAGGGCGAAGCCAGAGGAAACUCUG